rnacentral:ncRNA from 22 species
ACCUUAUCAAGAGAGGCUGAGGGACAGGCCCUAUGAAGCCCAGCAACCACUUGGAAAAGGAAGGUGCUAAAUCCUGCUAGAGAGAAUUCUAGAAAGAUGAGGU